UACGAAGGGGGCUAGCGUUACUCGGAUUGACUGGGCGUAAAGGGCGCGUAGGCGGUUUGUACAGUCAGACGUGAAAUUCCUGGGCUCAACCUGGGGGCUGCGUUUGAUACGUGCAGACUUGAGUUCGGAAGAGGGUCGUGGAAUUCCCAGUGUAGAGGUGAAAUUCGUAGAUAUUCGGAGGAACACCGGUGGCGAAGGCGGCCACCUGGUCCGGUACUGACGCUCAAGCGCGAAAGCGUGGGGAGCAAACGAGG
rnacentral:rRNA from 1 species